UACAGAGGUGGCAAGCGUUGUUCGGAAUUACUGGGCGUAAAGGGCGCGUAGGCGGCCUUCUAAGUCUUGUGUGAAAUCCCUCGGCUCAACUGAGGAACUGCACGGGAUACUGGAUGGCUUGAGUUCGGGAGAGGGAAGCGGAAUUCCGGGUGUAGCGGUGAAAUGCGUAGAUAUCCGGAGGAAUACCGGUGGCGAAGGCGGCAUCCUGGACCGACAUUGACGCUGAGGAGCGAAAAGCUAGGGGAGCAAACGGGG
rnacentral:rRNA from 1 species